GACGAACGCUGGCGGCGUGCUUAACACAUGCAAGUCGAACGGAAAGGCCCUGCUUUUGUGGGGUGCUCGAGUAGCGAACGGGUGAGUAACACGUGAGUAACCUGCCCUUGACUUUGGGAUAACUUCAGGAAACUGGGGCUAAUACCGGAUAGGAGCUCCUGCUGCAUGGUGGGGGUUGGAAAGUUUCGGCGGUUGGGGAUGGACUCGCGGCUUAUCAGCUUGUUGGUGGGGUAGUGGCUUACCAAGGCUUUGACGGGUAGCCGGCCUGAGAGGGUGACCGGCCACAUUGGGACUGAGAUACGGCCCAGACUCCUACGGGAGGCAGCAGUGGGGAAUAUUGCACAAUGGGCGGAAGCCUGAUGCAGCAACGCCGCGUGCGGGAUGACGGCCUUCGGGUUGUAAACCGCUUCCGCCUGUGACGAAGCGUGAGUGACGGUAAUGGGUAAAGAAGCACCGGCUAACUACGUG
rnacentral:rRNA from 1 species